GGGAUUGUGGCUCAGUGGUAGAGUGCUUGCCUAGCAUGCAUGAGGCACUGGGUUUGAUCCUCAGCACCA
rfam:Ictidomys tridecemlineatus contig021557, whole genome shotgun sequence.